CGGGGUGCAGCAGGCGCGAAAACUCUACAAUGCAGGCAACUGCGAUAGGGGGACAUCGAGUGGCAUCCACCUUGGGUGCCUGUCCAACCGUCUAAAAAACGGUUGUUAGCAAGGGCCGGGUAAGACCGGUGCCAGCCGCCGCGGUAAUACCGGCGGCUCGAGUGGUGGCCGAUAUUAUUGAGUCUAAAGGGUCCGUAGCCGGCUUUGCAAGUCCCCUGGGAAAUCCAGCGGCUUAACCGUUGGGCUUUCAUGGGAUACUACAUUGCUUGGGACUGGGAGAGGUAGGAGGUACUCGGGGGGUAGGGGUGAAAUCCUGUAAUCCUCCGGGGACCACCGGUGGCGAAGGCGUCCUACCAGAACAGGUCCGACGGUGAGGGACGAAAGCUAGGGGCACGAACCGGAUUAGAUACCCGGGUAGUCCUAGCCGUAAACGAUGCCCGCUAGGUGUCACGACGGUCGUGAAUCGUCGUGGUGCCGUAGGGAAGCCGCGAAGCGGGCCACUUGGGAAGUACGGCCGCAAGGCUGAAACUUAAAGGAAUUGGCGGGGGAGCACAAGGGCGAUUCGCGG
rnacentral:rRNA from 1 species